rnacentral:rRNA from 3 species
UACGAAGGGGGCUAGCGUUGCUCGGAAUCACUGGGCGUAAAGCGCACGUAGGCGGAUCUUUAAGUCAGGGGUGAAAUCCCAAGGCUCAACCUUGGAACUGCCUUUGAUACUGGGGAUCUCGAGUCCGGAAGAGGUUGGUGGAACUGCGAGUGUAGAGGUGAAAUUCGUAGAUAUUCGCAAGAACACCAGUGGCGAAGGCGGCCAACUGGUCCGGUACUGACGCUGAGGUGCGAAAGCGUGGGGAGCAAACAGG